GGCCCCUUAGCUCAGCUGGUUAGAGCGUGGUGCUAAUACACCAAUAGGCACGCCAAGGUCAUCGGUUCGAUCCCGAUAAGGGCCA
rnacentral:tRNA from 1 species